AGUGGGCUGGCUGGAAGGCAGGGCACAGACGGGAAAUGAGAGAAAGGGGCCUGCUUGCUUCAUCGGAGAGGAUAUAAAGUAAAUGAAGCUGGACAUGUAAGUGGAGCCAGAUCUUGAGUCUGAAGUGUUAAGAGUUUACCCUGAGGCCAAGGGAGAAGCCACGGAAGGUUCAUGGGAGGGGGAGGACGUGAGACAUUCAACAGGUCUGAGCUCCUCUCAUAGCAGUAGGCUUUGGUCUGAGUCAGGAUGAGUCUAGGACUUGCUCCCCAAGGGACUCUGGGGCAUGGGAGGAGCAGGGGAGCAGGGAGUAGGUCCAAGCUGAGGGGAACAACAAAGAGAUGUGAAGGAGAUGCUCUCUGAUCACGACACACUCAGAGGUACCCAUUUCACGUUGCCAAUAUGCCAGUCACUGUGCACUUAUCCAUAACGGAGAUGUUAUCAUUAUGAGAAAACUGAGGUUCAGAGAAGUUGAGAGACUUGCAUGAGGUCACACAGUGAGAAAGUGGCCUGGUUCAGAGCCCACACCCUUAAAUUA
rnacentral:lncRNA from 10 species